AAUUUGAUCUGAAAUCAGGUGGGAUUACCCGCUGAACUUAAGCAUAUCAAUAAGCCGGAGGGAAAAGAAAAUAACCAAUGAUUUCCCUAGUAACGGCGAGUGAAGAGGAAAGAGCUCAAAGUUGGAAACUGUUUGGCUUAGCUAAACCGUAUUGUAAACUGUAGAAACAUUUUCCUGGCACACCAGAUUAAUAAGUCCUUUGGAACAAGGCAUCAUGGAGGGUGAGAAUCCCGUCUUUGAUCUGAGUAGUUGUCUUUUGUGAUAUGUUUUCAAAGAGUCAGGUUGUUUGGGAAUGCAGCCUAAAUUGGGUGGUAAAUCUCACCUAAAGCUAAAUAUUUGCGAGAGACCGAUAGCGAACAAGUACCGUGAGGGAAAGAUGAAAAGAACUUUGAAAAGAGAGUUAAACAGUAUGUGAAAUUGUUAAAAGGGAACCGUUUGGAGCCAGACUGGUUUGACUGUAAUCAACCUAGAAUUCGUUUUGGGUGCACUUGCAGUCUAUACCUGCCAACAACAGUUUGAUUUGGAGGACAAAAUUAAUAGGAAUGUAGCCUCUCGAGGUGUUAUAGACUAUUAUCAUACUCUGGAUUGGACUGAGGAACGCAGCGAAUGCCUUUAGGCAAGAUUGCUGGGUGCUUUCGCUAAUAAAUGUUAGAAUUUCUGCUUCGGGUGGUGCUAAUGUUUAAAGGAGGAACACAUCUAGUAUAUUUUUUAUUCGCUUAAGUUGUUGGCUUAAUGACUCUAAAUGACCCGUCUUGAAACACGGACCAAGGAGUCCACCAUAAGUGCAAAGUAUUUUGAGUGACAAACUCAUAUGCCGUAAGGAAACUGAUUGGU
rnacentral:rRNA from 1 species